rnacentral:rRNA from 1 species
GACGAACGCUGGCGGCGUGCUUAACACAUGCAAGUCGAACGGAAAGGCCUCUUUCGGGGGGUACACGAGUGGCGAACGGGUGAGUAACACGUGAGUAACCUGCCCUUGACUUUGGGAUAACUUCAGGAAACUGGGGCUAAUACCGGAUAGGAGCUCCUGCUGCAUGGUGGGGGUUGGAAAGUUUCGGCGGUUGGGGAUGGACUCGCGGCUUAUCAGCUUGUUGGUGGGGUAGUGGCUUACCAAGGCUUUGACGGGUAGCCGGCCUGAGAGGGUGACCGGCUACAUUGGGACUGAGAUACGGCCCAGACUCCUACGGGAGGCAGCAGUGGGGAAUAUUGCACAAUGGGUGGAAGCCUGAUGCAGCAACGCCGUGUGCGGGAUGACGGCCUUCGGGUUGUAAACCGCUUUCGCUCAUGACGAAGCUUUGUGUGACGGUAGUGGGUAAAGAAGCACCGGCUAACUACGUG